CAGUCGUACCGGCGGAUAAUCAGCUUGCUUCGCGGAGCAGGCGUAUUUCCGCGCAUGGCAGGUCAGCGUCAGUUUUGCGCGGCGUGAAAAGGCUCGGGUAAGUAGCUCUCUUCGGGGAUGUUAUAGACCUGGGCAGAUGCGCUGCG
rnacentral:rRNA from 1 species